UCUCAGAAAAGGGGGGACGCCAUCAAAGAGCUAAAGGUGAUUAGAGGGGGAUAUCGAUUCCUUUCUCUGCCAGAGGUUUAAGCAGGCAUGUGAGGAAUCUGCACCACGGUUGGCAGAAAAACCCAUUGCCUCCUGUAACCAGACACUGGGGCUUUCCAGGAGCCCAGGGAGAGAGCCGAGAAGAAAGGGGGCAGUGUGGUCUAGGAAAAUUCAACUUGUCGCUGAUUUGUGCCUGAUGCUUGCUGUCCGUCAGCAGCCUCCCUUACAUGCUUUUUUCCUCUCUCUCCUUUUUUCUCCCCUUGCCUUCUUCUUCAGCGAAGCCUAGGGGAGCCAGUCAAGAUUAAAUGUGCUUUCUCAAAGGCAGCCACUUCAUGCUGCUAUGUCGAAAGGGCUAUUAUUAUUAAUAAUAUGAGAGAGAGAGAGAGAGAGAGAGAGAGAGAGAGAGAGAGAGAGAGAGAGAGAAAGAGGAGACUAGGUAUGAUGAUGACGGACUGGCUCUUUGGAGAGGAAAAGGGGAAGGAGAGGAAAAGGAGAGACGGCGAGCUGAACGGAGAACUGUGCAUGAGCAGGACCUACCGAGGUGAGGAAAAGAAGUUGUGUGUGGGUGUUCUAAACAGACCCUGUACAGAGGGAAAGAGACGGUUUAGAAGGCUGGCUGGUGUGAUUCUAGUUCUUCUGGUGGGGAGGAGGCAAGCCUGGAGCUCUUCACUAUUCCUAGUUGUUUUUUCUUUCUUUCUUUCUUUUUUCUGGUCUUUUUUUUUUUUUCUCGGAGUAGAAGGGCCCCCUCCAGUGUCUUCCUUAGGCCGGUGCUUUGUUAUUCUGCGUGCCCAGCCAGCCAUCUACUUUGCUCAGGCCUGGGAUAAAAGAAAGAAAGGAGGGGUGAGGGGAAAGAAAUUUUUUUAAAAGAAGCAUCUUCCCGUCGGUCCCCUCCCUUUUGGUUUUUUUUUUUUUUUUUUUUUUUUUUUUUUGAGUCUGCACAGGAAAGCUCAGCUUCCAGGCAGAGGAGGUUGGGGAGAGCGACUCUAUCAGGUACAGCACUAGUGGCUGUCUGUGAAGAUGGAGGGGGAUUAUGCCUCGGAUUCCUCUGAAAUAUUGGCCAAAGGCUUCAAAGGAUCCGCAGCGGGAGGCGAGGGUGGGGGAGCAUCUCCCCAGCUCGCACCCACCCCUUCCCACUUUGCGUCUACCAAAUGACAGGCUGGUGCUCGCUCUGGGUGAUUUUGGCCUUGGCCUCAGCCAAGCAGCUGAUGCAGAGGAGGGCCCGGUUUGCAAGACUGACAGAACUCUGCAUGCUAGAGAAAGAAGAAGGAAAAGAAAAAAAAAAAUGUUUUCCCCCCAAGCAGUCCUUGGGAAAUUUUCUUGUUCUCUCUCGAUUUAUUUAUUUUUAAUUUUUUAACCGACUGUUUUCCAAAUUUGAUCAGCCCCAGCCCCUCCCUCCACUCCCACCCUACUGCCUCUCCUCCCACCCUCACGCCCCGGCCAAAGCAUAAACCAUAGAGUUACGGUCUUCUCUCAAUUUUGGAGUAUCGCUUCCUGCCCCCGCCUUCCCUCCCCGCCCCAUUCUCUGUCCUAUUGAACACCUCGCCUAGCCUAGCGCACUGCGAGCUCACAUUCUCCCCCCGGCUCUGGAUGGCGCUCCUGGAAGCUCUGCAGCCGGGCUCCACUUCAAAUGGGGUUGUACGGAGUCAGCAAUGGAUCUAAAUUUUGUGAAGGGAAGAGGCUUAGAAAGCCAGGAUGUCGCCACACUGGACCACCUGUUUGCUGCAUUUUAGUCCCGAGUCUGCAACUGAAAUUGCCUGUCAUUCUUGUUUUGCUUUGUUUUGUCUCAAGAAAGAAAAAAUACUGUGUUGCGCUCCCCUCAGUCCCUGAGACCCUAACUUGUGAUGUUUACCGUUUAAAUCCACGGGUUAGGCUCUUGGGAGCUGCGAGUCGUGCCUUUGCGUCGCUGAAGGAACUUUUUGUCUUUUAAGAAAAAGAAAAAAAGAAAAGAAAAGAAAGUUUGUCAGAAGUGAUGAGAGUACACCUCUGAGGCUUCCAUUGUUAGAUGGGAUCAGGUGACCAGAGUGUGGCAGCUCCUGGCUUCUGUUGAAGUAGACUGUUAGCAUCCUGUGCUGGCUGUUAUGGAUGCCUGUGUAUAUGGCUGACACUGAGGCUGGUGGAAAAUCAUCGGCAGGGUCUAUUCCUUGAGAGCAACACGCAGUACUACCAGAGCGUAACACCAACAGCUCAGUACCUGGUGCUUGACCUCAGAACAUCUCAGCUGAAGUCCCAGCAUGCCCCAUGCCUCCAACUUUUAAACUCAACAGUUAAUCCGAAAAAUGUGCUCAAUUAAAAUGGGCAUGAGAAUAUAUUAUAUCUGUAUUGUCCACACAUGUGUUGUAUAUGGCUAGACCGUGGUUUCACUGACCUAGGUAUGAUGGAACCACUGAUUUGGAAUAAAUGAAUAGGUUAAAUAUUCAACGCUUGUAUUCAAUACAAAGGAAAAAAAUGAGACUGGGAAAGAUAAAACAUGUGUUACUUUGCAAGAUUUCUUAAAAACAAAAUGGAAGGAGUGAUACGACCUCCUUGCUUUGGUACCUCUUUAAAAAUGUUAUGCUUGGUGAAUUUAAAGGUGAUAAGAAUAGAAAUGGAUUUUCUAAAUAUCAUGGGAUGAAAGAAAUAAUUGAGUGUAUUUGAUAUUGUGUUCUUUGGGGGAAAUCAAUGCCUACGACUCUUCUUUAGAAGCUGGGAAGAUUUUUAUCAGGAUUUUAAUUCAAUUCGACAAAGCUAUUGGUAAUACCAAACCACAUGUAAAAAGGAUCCUCUCUUGAGGUAAUUGUUAGCAUUUUCUAGUUUGUAGUUUUCUGGGAUUAUAACUUUUCAUGGCAGGGUAAUUUCAGUGAUUCAGGUCAGCCUCACAUUAGGGAAGAAGGACGCGGCUUACCUUCCCUUUGUUGCAGAAAAUUCGGGCGUACAGUUUCCUCUAAACACUUUUACUCUUCUCAGCCCAACCUUUCUCUCCAUUUUUGGAAAAUGCCUAAAUCAGCCCAGACUCCAAAUGCUUUCAUCUCUGAAAGAUUUCGUAAUGGUUGUAACCUCAUUGUACACAGAGAGAGGAAAGUGAAGGAAGCUGCUCUUCCCAUUUUUAAAUGCUUGUCUCAAUUUUACUCAUUUACCCCAAAUUACAGUCAAGAAAGCAUUUUGCAUCAGAAUGCUGAAUUGAGAAGUGUGCAACAAUUGUACUACGUCUUUUGUUGAAACCUCUUGUACGGCUGUAAUUUAACUAUUACUUGGCAGCCUUUGAUAGAAUGUGCUUCAAAGCUUACAGUUAUUUAAGAGAUUUUGUCCAUUAGUUUAUAUAAAAUGAUUAACGAUUCCCCAUCCCGUUUCAACUAAUGUGCAUGCAUAGCUAUGUGGAAAUUAUGGUGGUGCAUCAGUUUAACUUAAGGGUAAUAUAUAUUAUCACAUUAUACAUUUGAAAGAUUGGCAAACAUUUGGUGCUUUUUGAAGGCAAAAUAUGUAUGCAGCUGACGUGACAGAAAUGUGUGCAUGGAUCAAUAAAGAUAUGAUAGAUGUGAUUUCUCUGUGAUUUCAAGUGAUAGAGGGACAUAAUUCAACACAAACGUUUCAGUUUGUACUAGCAGGCACUCCUGCUUUCCCAUGUUUUCACGUGGAUUGCUCCUGUUCUCAGGCUGCUACUGUAAUGCAGGUUGGCCAGGCAUUCAGCAGUGUGUGCGACACAACAGAUUUCUAUAUUUCAGCAGGCAACUGCUUCGGCGCAAGGGCAGGGUUCUCAACACCCCCUCUUCCUCAUGGAGCCCAUCAGCGGAGUUCAGUGAAAUGAAUAACAUAAUUGGUGGUUGGUUCAAUCACUACCAGUCUAGACUAGCCCAGACGCAUCAAUUAGAGGGGACUGUCUUUUAAAGGGAGAGUGUAGCCGAAACAAGCAGGCUAUUAUUGAUACUGAUCUUUAAAAGCACAAAUCCAGCCUGGCAGAUAAAAAAAUAAAAAAUAAAAUAAAAAAUAAAAAGGCGGUGAGCUGCAGUGGGGGUGCACUGGGGGAAGAAAAGAGACCCAGGGAACUGGAGCUGGGGUGCAGAAGGACAGGAAGCUGAAGAGAAAGGGGGGAUAAUGAGUGGAAUGCAGUCUUGUACCUCCUUGGAGCACAGUUACAAUUCAGUUCACAGGGUGCAGUGGCUCACCGUAUUUUUAACUAGCAUGCACACACACACACACACACACGCACACGCACACGCACACGCACAUGCACACACAAACACACACACACACACAUACACACACACACACACACACACACCUUCACUAACACGACCACCUCCUUUUAAAAAAGUCUUCUUUUUUGCCAGCUUAAAACCAACGCAGUUGAAAUCUAACAGCUUUAAGAAGCCGCACUGAUAACAAGAAGAACCAGCUGAAACCUCUUUUGCAAUAUUUACCCAAAAGAAAAAUAUGUUAAAUGCUUAAUUUUCAAAUCUCUAUUCUUUUUAUUUUAUUUUGUUUUAAGAGAGCAAACUAGAGAAGAGUGCUCAUUUUUAAAAUCUGAUACUGGAACUAAUUUUAUGGGCAAAACACCUUUAUACAAAAAGUUUACAGUUUUCCAUUGAAUACAGUAAAGUAAGAAGAAUGUAACAAAAGGCUUUGGUGAUUUGGUAGUUUUUUUUUUUUUUCUUCUCUCCUCUUCUUCUUUUCUGAGGGAGAAAAACAGAUGAUUUAGAAAGUGUUAGGAACAUAUCAAGCCCCAGGGAAAGAAAACGUUUGAUUGGUAUUAAUUAAAACACUGCUAAUAUAUUCUAAUAAAAUCAGAUUUAACAUUCUAAACUAAUCCGCCUAGCAUGUCAAAGGCAAUGAAAAGUAUUAUCUUUCUUAUUUGCAUCUAGACAACUCGAAUGCAUUUGCUCAUUCGGCAGAAUUAAUUUCUUCCACCAGUCUAUUAAAUCUCCUCACAGAUUUGGUCAAACUUAUUCUUUGAGACUAGAAGGGAGUGGGGUGGGGAAACCAUGGAAGGUAUUUGGAAGACUAGUGACUGUAUUUAGGGCCGGGUUUCUGGCUGCCUGUAGUCUUUUCUCUUCCUUCGCUGUAAUGGGGUGUGGAGAACAGCGGGGAUUGCACAGUGAUAAAUGGCUCAGGGUUUGUUUUUUUUUUUUUCCCCUUUCUCUCCUUCUACCUGCUGGCUUAUUUAAAAAUUUCAGUUGCCAAAUUAUAUGAAUGGCAUUUAUUCUGUGCGUUCAGCCUGCUCAUCAGCAUCUAAUUUUUGUUUUCUAAUUUCAGAAUUCAUGCUAUCACAGAUUCCUAAUGGAAAAUAAAUAAAUAAAUAAAUAAAUAAAUAAAUAAAUAAAUAAAUAAAUGUCCUUAUAACCAGAAACCCAUCAUCUUUUCUCGGCUAUUUUUUUUUUUUUAAUUUUAACUUCCAUCCUAAGGGCAAGUGAGGAAAGGAAUGUAAAAUUUUAUUCACCAAGAGCUGAGUUCUUUGUUCUAUUUUUAAGUCAAAUAUUUCUCUGGAAGAAUUCCAUAUUUUUCUGGAGCAUGGCGUUUUAGCUCUUUAUUGCUAAGCUCACCCAACUGAUAAUAUUGUCCUCAGCUGGUAUUAUAGCUAAAAUGUUUCGCCUGUCACCAGUCUCCCGAAACUAUGAUAGCCCAUGCAAAUAUGAGGCUAACACAAAAAGAUGAAUGGGCCGGAAAUGCUGAAGACCAUAUGGGUGUGUUUCCACAAGGAGGGAGUCCUCAGGCUGUGGAGAGGUGGACUGACUGCAGUCUGCACCGGGGAGGUGGCUGCAGACUUCUUCCUCCAUUGCCUUUUCAAGUCUCCAAGGUAAAAGAGCAACCGCGGUUUGGUUUCACUUGUAUUGUUCUAUAAUCCAGGCAAUAAAUGCUAAUUAGUAAUGCUCAAGGAUCCGACCAUUCAGAGUAAUUAUCAUAAUUUACUUCUUCCUCGUUAAAGACAUUCCUUGCUGAUUUAAAAAAAAGAAAAAAAAAAAGUCGUCCCUUCCCCAUGGCAUUGCAGUGAGGAUUCACUAGAGAGAUGUUCAAGGUACACUCAGAGCCUCCAGGCUGCAUUUGAAGUCACCGACAUGUGCUGUGCCUUAUUCAGAAUGGAACUGCAGCUUGAUUUCUACGAUGAAAUUCAUAUAAAUGCAUCAGAUUCUGCACAUGCACAGGAAUGUAUGAUUUUAUUUUACAAACCCCAAGGCUCCUCCUUCGGGUCCCACCCCUUUUUCUAAAACCACUUAUGAGCUGAACAAAGGAAAGUACUAACUAUAGAGGCAUCAUUAAAUGUGAACAGUCACUGCACUGUAAAGUGUGUGCUAUGACAACAUAUUUCACUGCACAAAAGUGCAGAUAAUUAAAUAAUUCAACAGCAACCCCGACUAAUUAGCAGAAAGAUCUUUAAAGAGGAAUAAAAAAAAUGGAUCCAAUCAACUUGAAGAAUAUGCUUCAUUCUCCGAGAGAUCUCAAAUAUAUUUUAGUUCUUUGGAGAUUGAUUCAUGUAGGGCAUGAGGACAAAGCCAGUUGCUCAAAGCAGAGCUUGGAUCUUCUUUAGACACACAAACUGGAUGUCUGUCUUCGAUGAGCUGAAUUUAGUGUAAGACUUUCCAUUUGCAGUCAAAGGUAUACAUGCCACUCAGACGCACAGGUCUCUUUUAUCUAUAGAUCUAUGACAGCCAACCCUUAGCUUUUCAGUUGGCUUCCUCAAUGUGUGUAUAGCCUCUCCCACAUUUUCUAAUGAUGCAUGUUGAAGUUCCUUAUUGAUUGAAGAAAGUAUCGUGUUCACGGUACAGAUAGAAUAAGUAACUGUACUCAGUGUUGUCCAGGGUAAUACCCCCUCCCCAUUUCCUUUGUCAAGGUGUUAUUCUUAGUGUUCAUUGUUCACUGGUCCUUUAAGCAGGAGCUCCAGAUUUAACUUGAGGGCUAUAAGCACAUUAGAAGAAUAAUUCCCCUUGGAUACUGUACAGAAGGAGCCACCUGCAAAAUGUUGAUGCUGUUAUUGAAGUCUCAAGUGGAAUCAGCUUUCAAAAAAUUAGAUAUUAGAUACAUCCGAUAUAAUUUGCAAUCUGUAAUUAUACUAAUGUGCAUAGAGCUGCACGUUGCUUUACAUGUAGCCUACUUGAGUUUGUCGCCCACCCCCACCCUUGGGCAUGUCUCAUCAUUUGCAAUUGCUUCUGAGUAGAAUGCUUUUUAAGCCAGCUUAUUUUUUUUUAAUUCCUUGUUAAUUAAUAUAAGAAUAAAAGGACUUUGCAGCCAGUAUGCUUGUGUGAGAAUGAAAGUGAAAAACCUAGAUGUUGAAAACUAAUGAUCCCUCGAAGGGUUGUCACUGGAGACACUUGAAUUCUUUGCAAAACAUUCGCAAUUCUUUGUGGAUUUGUUCUUUAUCCUGACUUCGGAUAACUUGGAAGCAUGGAGAACAUCAGAGUACUAAAUAUUACUUAUAAGGAGUACAUUUCCUUUGUUGGAAUUAGAGAAAUGACAUUAGGCAGAGAUAAUAGUUUUUAACUUAAUCAAAAUAAUCAAACCAUUAACAAUAAUAAACAAUUCCUUUUCUGCUUUUCCCCUCCAUUUUGCAUGUCACGUGAUGAGUAACUGGAACUCUUGUGUACUAACUUCAGUUCCCUUUUGGGGCCUCAACGUGAUUCCAGAGAUCUACUGAUGGCUCCCCUGGGGAGCCUUCUCCAGCAAGCUGCCCCAUGAAGAUCUACCUACUAAGAAAAAAAAAAAAAAAAAAAAAAAAAAACAACAACAACAGCAACAAAAAAAAAAACCCAGGCAGAAGCACAGUGAGUUGGCUGGUCAGUCUGGCACUUGGCUAAAUGCAAUAGGUGAUGAGAUUGUCAAGACAAACUUGGAGAAUUAUUACUGAGCAAGGCAAUGUAAGGGUCUCACUUGUAUUUCUUCUGCAUUCAAAUUAAAAAAAGGAUCCCAAGAGACUCUUAUGCUGAGUAGAAGACCCCACUCCACUACUCAAUGCAAUGUUGUACUGAUGUUGCUUUCAGCUGGUCCUAUAGCCCCCUUUCUCAGGAAUGUCUCCCCAGGGAAAGGACAAAGACGGCAGAGACUGCUAGACUGAUGGACUGCUCAUGCCAACUGUGAAGUUGAAACAAAGCAACUGACCACCUGAAGAGACCCCUCCUGCACAGCAGCCACCCACAUGGUGCAGUGGCAGCCAAUAGUAAUCUUUGCAAGAAACAGAAAAACCCAGACCAUUCACGAGUCAAAAGCUUUCCCUUCCUUGUGUGUAUUUCGUCUGUCUGUGUUCAGAUUCACAUGCCAUGUAUUUUUGAUCCUAGUAUGAACAUGCUUGUUAGUGCAAUUGUGUAAAGGCAACUUUGCCCAAGUGUGUUAAUGUAUGAAAAGACCGAAUUUUCUGGGGAGACUGAUUUUUAUCAACAUACAGUAUUUGUUCCUGAAAGAGAUCUAGAAAGUGAAAGACAAUGUCAUCACAGGUGACCCACAGAGACCUCAUACCACCACGCAGAAACACCACAUCAUGCCCCCAGACUCUGAGUGGCAAGCUUGGCUCUGUGAUGUAUGGCAGCUGCUUCCAAGGGUGGAAAUCAAACUGGACAAGGGUACAUAAGCUACCUAAAAUGUAGUGAUAAACAGAGUCAGUAGACAAUAAGAACAGAAACAAAACCAAAGACAAUGUGCUUAGAGGAGGCCAAAUUGGUUUGCCUAAGGAAGAAUGUUACCCUAAAGAGAAAAUAUGAAAGCAACCUUUAAGGAUGUUAAAAAAAAAAAUACAUAAAUGGAAAGGUAGGAGAAAAUAGAGUCCUGAAGGGCAUGGCAGAGGAAAUCCACGUAGCGAGUUUUGGAGAUUGCAAAUCCUUCUGUCAACUUGACUUCACUCAACACUCAGCAUCCCUCUGUGUGUGUCUUGUAAAGAUGGUGCACACAUGUGUUUUCCCUCUUCCACCACAGAAGUCACCUAAACCAAACUAGAACUAAAGAGCCAGUUCUCUGACACUAGAAGGGUGAAGGCAAUUGGUGGUACCUGUGUAGAACUCAUGAUUCUUCUGUUUGUAAUUGUUAGUUACCAAGUUUAUUCCUUGUAGGAAAUACUUUGCAUAAUGAAUCUCAUGAGAGCUCUAAAAAAAUUACACAUUGUUCCCACUUCCCAGGUGAUGAAACUGAUUUUGAUGAGGUUAUGUGCCUGGCCAAGGUGCUAUGUGUGGCUAUGAACAUUCAAGGUUGUGGUCACAAAGCUUAUGAGCUGGAGCCUGAAGUCAGACUUUGUGAUCAGUACCCACACUGGUGUCACUUUCCCCACAGCCCUUACUGUCUGUCCAUGGAAACAAAUAGCCCUUCUGCUUACUUAUGGUCUCAAUGCUCUCCACGUUUGUAUAUGAAUUACACCAGAAUGAUAAAAUGUAUUUUCACAACAGAAAAUUGAGAAUUUAGUGGAGGAGAGCCUGUCAGCAGUUUAGACAUUUCCUUUUGAUUUUGGUCAGACAUCAUGAAACUUUUGACUUAGUUCUGCAAAAAAACCCUAGAAGUUUUAAGAGUAGUGGCCUUAAGUUCCCUGUCACAAUAUCUUUUUGAUAGAAAACAUAGAUCGAUAGUCUGUAAGCAGAGUAACUUAGAAAAAUAAAAACCAACCAACCCAAACAAACAAAACAAAACAAAGCAUAUAUUUGGAAGUGUCCCAGCAAGGAACAGAUACAAGGCCCUCAGUUAUCAUUUCAUUGGCUUUUAAACUGCUCCUCCUGCCCUAAAGAAACAUGAACUUCUAUUUGAUUACAGAAGGUAUUCUGUCUAUAUGAUCAAGGAAUGCCUCAUAGACGAUCUAUUAGAUCUCUCCAGUUCCUUCCCUCUUUAGCACCUCACGUCAUUGUGAAAUACAGCUAUGAACUAGUGUAUUUGGGUCAAGAAGUUGUCAAUGAUCUGUCCCCAAAGAAUACAGAAUAGCGACAACUAUACCUUUAAUGAUAUUCCCAAUCAUGAAGUCACUGUUCACCUGUACAGAUCCAAUCUCCCACUGUACAUCCUCUCAACCCACUUGACCAAUGGUCAACUUUUGCAAAUGUUGUGAAUACUUAUCCAUGACUGUUUCAGUAAUACUGAAAUAUUAACAAUGACCACUAGUCAUUUUGUGUUAUAAUCCUCAUUUAUGCAUGUAACUAAUUCAAGAAUCCUUUGGCCAUAAGAAACUAGAACUAAAAAUCCCAUUCUUGCUUCCAGCCACUCUGCAUUUGAUUGACAUUUAGCAGUGAUUAAUUAAUACAGUGGCCAUCUAGAUACCAUAGAUGUCUAAACUGUGAUUUUUUUUUUUUUUUUUUUUUUUUUUUUUUUUUGUCUGAAAGGAGAUGGUUAAGCUGGCUCUGCUAAGGGACAGAUGUCUAACUUUUUGAGAUACCUGGAUGGAUAUUUAACUGAUGUAACUUUCUACUUAGCUGUUUGACAUUGUCAUAAGCAGUCCCUGUCAUGGCUCUGGCUGUCUUGUUUUUUCAAAGUACUUGUUGGCUCUGUCUUACACUGUUCUCACUGACUUCAUAAGUAAACAGGUUUGUUGUUACCGAGUAGCCCAAGCACAAAGUGUGACUUCGUUGACAUCUUAUGAGUCCUUGACUCCCAAUAAAAGAAAUGUUGCAUUAA